rnacentral:lncRNA from 1 species
UGAUGCAAUAUUUGUUGAUUGAGUUUUAAAAGAGAGUAUCGAAAAAUACCUACUUUUAUGUUUAUGAGAUUUUUGGAGUUACCUUGUGAGUGUGUUGAUUGUUUACUUGAGUUAUAAUAAUUGUAAUUAAAUAAAUCAACAGUUCUUUCUUGUUUACUCAUACGGGCUGUCAUGGCUUACCGGGUUUGGUGUUGUUGCAUUCCCGUGUGCUGUAAUAAGUAGCUUGAGGAUUUGGUUUAUGUAAUAUCAAGAGGUGUAUUUAGUGGUUGUUUUCUGAGAGAAAAAUUCAGAACGUAUUUGUAUUGUUUUUAGUCAUGUUCCGGAUUUGAAUCCUUAUUUCAAGAUUCGGGGUGU